rnacentral:rRNA from 1 species
UGCCUAACAGCUAGCCCACCCAAACAAUUUCAACAAACCCCUGUUAAUAACCCCUAAGUACCCCAGUAUUUAUUUUAAACAAACCAUUUUUCCCCCUUAGUAUAGGCGAUAGAAAAGGGCCCACGGCGCAAUAGAGAAAGUACCGCAAGGGAACGCUGAAAGAGAAGUGAAACAACCCAGUAAAGCCUAAAAAAGCAGAGAUCUAAACUCGUACCUUUUGCAUCAUGAUUUAGCAAGUGUAACCCAAGCAAAGCGUACUUUAGUUUGACGUCCCGAAACUAGGUGAGCUACUCCAAGACAGCCUAUCAAUAGGGCGUACCCGUCUCUGUGGCAAAAGAGUGGGGAGAGCUUUGAGUAGAGGUGACAAACCUACCGAACCUAGUUAUAGCUGGUUGUCCAAGAAAUGAAUAGAAGUUCAGCCUUUCAGCUUCUCUUUUCACCUUAGUCUGACCCCUAUUGAUGCAUUAAAGAAACCGAAAGAGUUAGUCAAAGGGGGUACAGCCCCUUUGAAUCAAGACACAACUUUACCAGGAGGGUAAAGAUCAUAAUAAUUAAAGCUAAAUGUUCUGGUGGGCCUAAAAGCAGCCAUCCCCUUAGAAAGCGUUAAAGCUCAGACAUCCGACCAUACUUCUUAUCCUGAUCACUUAAUCUUACCCCCCUAACCGUACUGGACCAUCCCAUGCCAACAUGGGAGUGACUAUGCUGAAAUGAGUAAUAAGAGAGCUACCGGCUCUCUCCCUGCACACGUGUAUAUCGGAACGGACAACCCACCGAACCUUAACGGCCCCAAAUAAAGAGGGCAGUGGAUGUUAGACCAAAAAACUAGAAAAAUAUCCAAAAACCAACCGUUAAACCCACACAGGUGUGCCCCCAGGGAAAGACUAAA